rnacentral:misc_RNA from 1 species
GAUGAAGAACGCAGCGAAAUGCGAUAAGUAAUGUGAAUUGCAGAAUUCCGUGAAUCAUCGAAUCUUUGAACGCACAUUGCGCCCGCCAGUAUUCUGGCGGGCAUGCCUGUUCGAGCAUCAUUUCAACCAUCAAGCCCCCGGCUUGUGUUGGGGACCUGCGGCUGCCGCAGGCCCUGAAAACCAGUGGCGGGCUCGCUAGUCACUCCGAGCGUAGUAAUACAUCUCGCUCAGGGCGUGCUGCGGGUUCCGGCCGUUAAAAAGCCUUAUUUACCCAAGGUUGACCUCGGAUCAGGUAGGAAGACCCGCUGAACUUAAGCAUAUCAAUAAGCGGAGGA